UGGGGAAUAUUGCACAAUGGGCGCAAGCCUGAUGCAGCAACGCCGCGUGAACGAUGAAGGUCUUCGGAUCGUAAAGUUCUGUUGCAGGGGAAGAUAAUGACGGUACCCUGUGAGGAAGCCCCGGCUAACUACGUGCCAGCAGCCGCGGUAAUACGUAGGGGGCUAGCGUUAUCCGGAUUUACUGGGCGUAAAGGGUGCGUAGGUGGUCUUUCAAGUCGGUGGUUAAAGGCUACGGCUCAACCGUAGUUAGCCUCCGAAACUGGAAGACUUGAGUGCAGGAGAGGAAAGUGGAAUUCCCAGUGUAGCGGUGAAAUGCGUAGAUAUUGGGAGGAAUACCUGUGGCGAAGGCGACUUACUGGACACAAAUCUGACGCUGAGGAACGAAAGCGUGGGUAGCAAACAGG
rnacentral:rRNA from 1 species